rnacentral:lncRNA from 1 species
UCUCAUCGUGUCAGCCUUAGUGUUUGUUGCUCAUCCUUCUCUCUGUCAGCGUUAGUGUUUGUUACUCCAUCCAUCUCCUCUGUCAGCCUUAGUGUUUGUUACUCCAUCCAUCUCAUCUGUCAACCUUAGUGUUUGUUACUCCAUCCAUCUCCCCUUAGUGUUUGUUACUCCAUCCUUCUCCUCUGUCAGCCUUAGUGGUUUGUUACUCCUCCAUCUCCCCUUAGUGUUUGUUGCUCCAUCCAUCUCCUCUGUCAGCCUAGUGUUUGUUACUCCAUCCAUCUCCCAGUAGUUGUGUUGCUCCAUCCAUCUCCCUGUCAGCCUUAGUGGUUGGUGCUCCAUCCAUCUCAUCUGUCAGCCUUAGUGUUUGUUACUCCAUCCAUCUCCCCUUAGUGUUUGUUGCUCCAACAUCUCCCUGUCAGCCGUAGUGUUUGUUACUCCAUAAUCAUCUGUCACAUUAGUGGUUGACUCCACCAUCCUCCACUUAGUGUGUUUGUUACUCCAUCCUUCCCUCUGUCAGCCUUAGUGUUUUGUUACUCCAUCCAUCUCAUCUGUCAGCCUUAGUGUUUGUU